UACGAAGGGGGCUAGCGUUGUUCGGAAUUACUGGGCGUAAAGGGCGCGUAGGCGGUACUUCAAGUCAGGCGUGAAAGCCCCGGGCUCAACCUGGGAACCGCGCUUGAGACUGGAGAACUAGAGUUCGGGAGAGGAUGGUGGAAUUCCCGGUGUAGAGGUGAAAUUCGUAGAUAUUGGGAAGAACACCGAUGGCGAAGGCAGCCAUCUGGACCGACACUGACGCUGAGGCGCGAAAGCGUGGGGAGCAAACAGG
rnacentral:rRNA from 1 species